GUUAACCACCGCCGGAAGCAUUUACGUAUUUUAUUUGUGUCAAUAUGAAGUUUUCAUCGUAGAAGCAAUUUUCAAAAAAAGAAAAGAAAGUUAGAGAGAGAGGGAGAGAAAACGAAAAAGAGAGAGAGAGAUGGAAUACGGUGGAGUGAGGAAAAAGAAAAGAUCAAUUAGGAGGAUAUCACAAUUAAGAAAGAAGAAAGUAAAGAAAUAGAAAGAAAAGAGGAGUACGGGAAAAUCAUCACCAUUAAUCAUCAUCAUUAUCCUCACUACUUCAAAUUCAGAAAAUCAUCAAACUAGAGGGGUCUGUUCUAUUUUUGGUGUUGUUUCUUGUGUUGAAAGCGUGAUCAAUUGCGCCCUUAGGCCUGAAGAUCCAAUUGAGCUUUCUACACAAUACGUAGUAAACCGUUUUGCACGUCAACGGUUGGAGGGAAUGUGUAAAAUGAGUGAAGGUAAUAUACACAUUGAGUGCAUUGAGGAUGUGGUUGGUGGCUUUACUUGCGAGGAAGUACUUCGUACUAUAAGAGAUAGUGGCAUUCCGACUGAAAAGGCCUUCAAAUAUACUGGACUACCUGUGGUUUCUUAUGCAAAUGAGUGGAAGACAAGGUGUACUGGGGACCUCCAGUCCCAUUCCACCUUACAAAUCACACUGUGCUUCUAGUAGGAUGUGGAGUGCAUAACAAAACUCGGUACUGGAUUGUGAGAAACACCUGGGGCACUAAUUUUGGUGAUGGUGGUCAUAUAAAGAUAGUGCGUGGUCAAAACUGUUUUGGAAUAGAAUCUGAGAUAUGGGUUCCGAUCAUUGAUCUGGACACACUCUGUUUCUGAAGCAUGUAUAUGCUUGUAACACCAAUUUGGUGGUCUACUAAUCUCUUUCCACUAUUAGACUAGUGUAAUGCUUUUUGUUUGGCAUGGGAUAUACUAAUACCAAGCUCUUGCCACUAUUUUACUUACGUGUACCUAUUACAAAAAUGUUAUUAGACUAAUGUAAUGCCUUUUGUUUGGCAUGUGAUAUACUGAUACCAAGUUAUUCAAUUUAAAAAAUUAAACUGGAAUUUGUUAGUAUAACUUAGAUGUAAGCAUAUAUGUUUUGUUUUAUUUUAUUUUUUUGGGUAGAAUGUCUUGUAAGCAACUUGAAUGAAUAAACAUGUGAUUCCAAUA